AAAGAAAAUAACAAUGAUUCCCUCAGUAACGGCGAGCGAAGAGGGAUAAGCUCAAAUUUUAAAUCUGUUGGGUUCCACUUAACAGAGUUGUAUUUUGAAGAAACGUUUUCUGCAUCCAGGAUUAGCCUAAAUCCUUUGGGAUAAGGUAUCAUGGAGGGUGAGAAUCCCGUUCAUGGUUAAUCUUAAGGAAGCUCUACGAUACGUUUUCCAAGAGUCGAGUUGUUUGGGAUUGCAGCUCAAAAUGGGAGGUAAAUUUCUCCUAAGGCUAAAUAUUGGCGAGAGACCGAUAGCGAACAAGUACCGUGAGGGAAAGAUGAAAAGAACUUUGAAAAGAGAGUUAAACAGUACGUGAAAUUGUUGAAAGGGAAACGAUUGAAG
rnacentral:rRNA from 1 species